AUGGAUCUGUCCAACCUGACCCUGGUGCUGCGCGCGGCGCUCAGCCACGCCCCCGAGGAGCGCAAAGCCGCUGAGGCCAGCCUCGAGCAGCUUCAGUAUACGCAACAACAUCUGGUGAGAUUGUUACAGAUCAUCGUAGAUGGAAGUUGUGAUAUGGCUGUGAGACAGGUCGCAAGCAUUCACUUCAAGAACUUUGUUUCAAAAGCCUGGUCACCUAUUGAUCCUGAUGAAACACGUAAAAUUCCAGAAGGUGACAAGUCUAUGGUUCGUGAGAAUAUACUGGGCUUUGUUACUCAAUUGCCUCCACUGCUAAGAGCACAGCUUGGAGAAAGUAUCAAGACCUUGAUCCUUGCGGAUUACCCUGAGCAUUGGCCUAGUCUUCUACAUUGGGUUACACAUAACAUGGAAUCACAGGAUCAAAUUUUCGGAGCACUUUAUGUGCUAAGGAUCCUAUCCCGGAAAUAUGAGUUCAAGUCAGAGGAGGAAAGGAUACCUUUGUAUCAAAUUGUUGAGGAGUGUUUUCCUCGUUUGUUGAAUAUAUUCAGCACACUUGUCCAGAUUGCCAAUCCUCCAAUUGAAGUUGCUGACUUGAUCAAGCUGAUCUGCAAAAUAUUCUGGUCCUCAAUUUAUCUAGAAAUUCCAAAGCAACUGUUUGAACCAAACAUCUUCAAUGCAUGGAUUGUUCUAUUCUUAAACUUGUUGGAAAGGCCAGUUCCAUUGGAAGGGCAACCAUCGGAUCCUGACGCUAGGAAAGCUUGGGGCUGGUGGAAAGUCAAGAAAUGGAUUACCCAUAUCUUGAACCGUUUAUACAGUCGGUUUGCUGAUAUGAAGGUUCAUAAACCAGAGAGUAAAGCUUUUGCUCAAAUGUUUCAAAAGAACUAUGCUGGAAAAAUUCUGGGAUGCCAUCUACAGUUGCUCAAUGCAAUUCGCACUGGUGGCUAUUUGCCUGAUAGGGUUAUCAAUCUUAUCCUUCAAUAUCUCACCAACAGUCUCACAAAGAACAGCAUGUAUCAGCUGAUGCAACCACAAAUCGACAUAAUUCUUUUUGAGAUAAUAUUUCCACUAAUGUGCUUCAAUGACAAUGACCAAAUGUUAUGGGAUGAAGAUCCGCAUGAGUAUGUUCGGAAAGGCUAUGAUAUAAUUGAAGAUUUGUAUAGUCCUCGAACAGCUGCUAUGGAUUUUGUCAGCGAAUUGGUAAGAAAACGGGGGAAAGGCAACCUACAAAAGUUUAUCCAAUUCAUUGUGGAGAUAUUCAUGAGGUAUAAUGAGGCAUCAAUUGAAGUGAAGCCCUAUCGCCAAAAAGAUGGUGCCCUUCUUGCCAUUGGGACAUUAUGUGAUAGGCUGAAACAAACUGAUCCGUACAAGGCUGAGCUAGAGCGAAUGUUAGUUCAGCAUGUCUUUCCAGAGUUCAGUAGUCAUGUUGGACAUUUGCGUGCGAAGGCAGCAUGGGUGGCAGGGCAGUAUGCGCACAUCACCUUCUCAGACCAGGACAAUUUUCGCAAAGCUAUGCAUUGUGUUAUCUCUGGUUUGCGUGAUCCAGAACUUCCUGUCAGGGUCGAUUCAGUCUUUGCUCUCCGUUCUUUCGUUGAAGCAUGCAAGGAUCUGGAUGAGAUCCGUCCUAUCCUUCCACAGCUUCUUGAUGAAUUUUUUAAGCUUAUGGGUGAAGUUGAGAAUGAGGAUCUUGUUUUCACUCUCGAGACAAUUGUUGAUAGAUUUGGUGAAGAGAUGGCACCAUAUGCCCUUGGCUUGUGCCAGAGUUUGGCUGCUGCCUUCUGGAGAUGCAUGGCUAGUUCAGAAGCUGAUGAUGAAGUAGAGGACUCUGGUGCUUUGGCUGCUGUUGGUUGCUUACGUGCUUUAAGCACAAUCCUUGAGUCCAUUAGCAGUCUUCCCCAUCUUUUUAUCCAAAUAGAGCCCACUCUGUUGCCUAUUUUGCGCAGGAUGUUGACUUCGGAUGGUCAAGAUGUUUAUGAAGAGGUUCUAGAAAUAGUGUCCUAUCUGACCUUUUACUCACCAACAAUUUCUUUGGACAUGUGGAGCUUGUGGCCAUUGAUGAUGGAGGCUCUUAAUGAUUGGGCCAUUGAUUUCUUUGAGAAUAUUCUUGUCCCACUAGACAAUUACAUUUCUCGUGGCACUGAACAUUUUGUUACCUGCAAAGAUCCUGAUUAUCAACAAAGCUUAUGGAAAGGACUGUCAUCUGUUAUGACAGACCAAAAUAUGGAAGAUUCAGAUAUUGUGCCGGCACCCAAGCUCAUUGAAGUGUUUUUUCAAAACUGCAAAGGGCAAGUUGAUCAUUGGGUUGAGCCGUAUCUCAGGCUUACGAUUGAUAGGCUCCGUCGAGCAGAGAAGCCUUAUCUGAAAUCUCUCCUUGUGCAAGUGAUAGCUAACGUAUUCUACUACAAUCCCUCGUUGACACUUGCAAUGUUGCACAAACUUGGAGUUGCGACAGAAAUUUUCAAUCUUUGGUUUGUCAUGUUACAACAAGUGAAAAAAAGUGGCAAGAGGGUGAACUUCAAAAGAGAGCAUGACAAGAAAGUCUGCUGCUUAGGAUUGACUUCACUUAUUGGCCUUCCAGCUAAUCAUAUUCCAGCAGAGGCUCUAGAACGCAUUUUCAAGGCAACACUUGAGCUGCUUGUUGCAUACAAGGAGCAAGUUGCAGAAUCUAAGAGGCAAAAUGAUGCUGCUGAUGAUGAUGUGGAUGAAUUUGAUGCUGAUGAAGAAGAGAAUGAGGAGGAUGAGGAUGAUGGGGAGAUGGGGGUUGAUGACGAAGAUCAGGAUGAAGUAAAUAGUCUUAAUAUACAGAAACUAGUACAGCACCCUGUGAUCACUCUUUACACCCUUGUGGUAAUUCAGGCAAGAGGUUUUCAGCUCCAUGAUGAGGAUGAUGAUGAUGAUGAUUCUGAUGAUGAUUUUAGUGAUGACGAGGAGCUGCAGACCCCGAUAGAUGAGGUUGAUCCAUUUAUCUUCUUUGUUGGAACCAUCCAAGCUGUACAAGCAUCCGACCCAGCCAGGUUCCAGAGCCUUAUGCAAACACUGGAUUUUCACUACCAGGCACUGGCUAAUGGCGUUGCUCAACAUGCCGAGGAAAGAAAAGUUGAAAUUGAGAAAGAGAAGUUGGAGAAAGCAAAUGCACAGUGA
rnacentral:rRNA from 1 species